AGCUCAAUCGGUAGAGCGUGAGACUCUUAGUAUCACUGCGAUCUCAAGGUCGCGGGUUCGACCCCCGC
rnacentral:tRNA from 1 species